CUAUCACUCGCUUUCUAAACCCUAAUUCAUUUCAUCCAGUCGCUACCCCUUCUUUCUCUCUCUGGUGAUUUUCAAUUUAGGGUUUCUUGCCUCCUGUGGUAUGAGCCAGAUCUCAUCGGAUCCAACAAUGGUGGUCGAGGCAAGUUCCAACAAUCCGAGAUUUCGUGAUUCCACUUGGCUGAGGUAUCUUCUCUGGCGGCGGCAGUGAAUGUGACAAGGGUGUAUGGGAGUUGCGUGUUUGGAGACUCGAUGAAAAUGGGUGGCACCGGCAUCAACAGCAGGCGGCGGCUAGGGUUCUGACCACGACCACCUGAUUAUCUACUAACAAAUAUUGGGAAUGUUCCUUUUAUUCAAGUUUUGGAGCUCAUUUUACAUUUGGGUACUGGUCUUGAAGAUUAUUCCAAGAUUUUGUUACGGAUCUGAUCUGGUAUGUUUGUGCAUCAUUCAUUGACCCAUUGUUUGUUGGCCCAGUUUCCGCUAAUACCAAAGCUCGUGAUGAUAUGUGUUGGGUUGAGCGACAGACAUGGAGGACGUAAAAAAAGCUAGAAAAUUUCUUGGGGUGGGUAAAACCCUAACAACGUCGACGAAGCUGAACGGAAAAACCCUAAUAAGGUUUUGACUUUGGUGAAAAAGGUAUAAUAUAAUUCUACAGAGGCGAUGAUUAGUAGUGUUUUGGAGUUUUGGUUUCUAAGAAAGAGAAUAGAAAGGUGAGAGGGCGAUCAAUAGACAUAUUUGGUUUCAGAUAGACCAGUAGAGCAGAGCAUUCGAUAAAUGGUAUAGUUGGGUGAAUGGAUUUAGGGGAGUGGGCCCUCAACUGCAGGGUGGAAGUGUCCAUACAUAAGGGUAUUGUAAUCUCGAAACAAAUGCUGGUUAUGUAAGGUUAACUAAAUUAUACAGCAGGAAUUACAAGAAUGCUAAACGGGCAGCGGUGCUGGGUCGAUUAAGGCACACGUUGUAUGUUCUGGUGACCCUUGAUACAUAUAUCCGGUUGUAGGUCAAGUUAUGGAUAAAUAUAUGAUUGAUAGUGAUGUUUCUGGAGAAAUAGGCGUUUUUCGGCGAAGGGUGUGAUCAGCAAGUUCAAAGUAACUAUGGUGAUGGUUUCAGGUGAUCAGCCAACAUCUCAGUCAAAACAGAUUAAACUCGGGCCAAAAAACGGUCAUCGGAAAGAUUUCACUUUUACGCGGACGACACGACUCGCCAAGUGGAAGCGCAUCACUACUGCGGCCAUCUGAACAAAGACAUGCGGCAAUCUCUGAUCUACGACCGGCCCGAUGCCGAUGCGCGGUUGAUCAUGCUGGAACUCUUCCGGACACCGAAAAACCGAUGUGGCAUAGCCACGAGUACGAGGUGAAGAGCGGCGUGCUCUUCCUUCCCGGUGUUCCCGGUCCGGUUGAACGAAAAGAUCUCGAGAAAGUGGCAAAACACGGGAAGACCAUACACUUUUAGCAGGUGGAUAGAGAUGAUGAACUGUCGCUCGGGUUACCGCAGGUGACGAUGGCGCUAACACGAGACGGGCAACUCUACCCGACGCGCUUUUGACAACAUAGUUUUUUUUAUUACGUCAAACUUAAAGUGGUUGAACACUUGAAUAAUCUUUUUAUAUAAUUUGUGUGCAGUAGGCUACCAUAUGCCUAAAGGGAGAAACAGUCUUUGUUAAUAAAGGGAGUUGGUGAACUUUUCAAAAUUCAGUUCAAGUUUUUCACUAGCCAGGAAGGUAAAGAGGAUCAUUUUAGUGAUAGGCCAUAAAUCACCAACUCAUUGCAUAAACUCUUCUUUUAUGUGUCAUAAGGGAUUGUUGCUGUGUCAUUGGGUGCUGAUUCAAAUGACCACCUUUGUACACCGGUGGAUGAUAUGGUUGAUGGUGGCAAAUCCGUAAAUAAC